rnacentral:rRNA from 1 species
CCUACGGGAGGCAGCAGUGAGGAAUAUUGCACAAUGGAGGAAACUCUGAUGCAGCAACGCCGCGUGGAGGAUGACGCAUUUCGGUGUGUAAACUCCUUUUAUUAGGGAAGAUAAUGACGGUACCUAAUGAAUAAGCACCGGCUAACUCCGUGCCAGCAGCCGCGGUAAU